UAAGGAAUAUUGGGCAAUGGACGCAAGUCUGACCCAGCCAUGCCGCGUGGAGGAUGAAGGCCCUCUGGGUUGUAAACUUCUUUUAUUGGGGAAGAAAUGCAGAUUUUCUAAUUUGUUUGACGGUACCCGAUGAAUAAGCACCGGCUAACUCCGUGCCAGCAGCCGCGGUAAUACGGAGGGUGCAAGCGUUAUCCGGAUUCACUGGGUUUAAAGGGUGCGUAGGCGGGCAGUUAAGUCAGUGGUGAAAUCUCCGGGCUCAACCCGGAAACUGCCGUUGAUACUAUCUGUCUUGAAUGUUGUGGAGGUGAGCGGAAUAUGUCAUGUAGCGGUGAAAUGCUUAGAUAUGACAUAGAACACCGAUUGCGAAGGCAGCUCACUUACACAGAAAUUGACGCUGAGGCACGAAAGCGUGGGGAUCAAACA
rnacentral:rRNA from 1 species